UACGUAGGGGGCAAGCGUUGUCCGGAAUUAUUGGGCGUAAAGAGCGCGUAGGCGGUCCGGUAAGUCGGCUGUGAAAGUCAAGGGCUCAACCCUUGAAAGCCGGCCGAUACUGUCGGACUAGAGUCCGGAAGAGGCGAGUGGAAUUCCCGGUGUAGCGGUGAAAUGCGCAGAUAUCGGGAGGAACACCAAUGGCGAAGGCAGCUCGCUGGGACGGUACUGA
rnacentral:rRNA from 1 species